rnacentral:rRNA from 1 species
UGGGUUAGUGGCGGACGGGUGAGUAACGCGUGGGCAACCUGCCUUACACAGGGGGAUAACACUUAGAAAUAGGUGCUAAAACCGCAUAAGCGCACAGCUUCGCAUGAAGCGGUGUGAAAAACUCCGGUGGUGUAAGAUGGACCCGCGUCUGAUUAGCUUGUUGGCGGGGUAACGGCCCACCAAGGCGACGAUCAGUAGCCGGCCUGAGAGGGUGAACGGCCACAUUGGGACUGAGACACGGCCCAAACUCCUACGGAAGGCAGCAG